ACCGGCGGCUCGAGUGGUGGCCACUAUUACUGGGCUUAAAGCGUUCGUAGCUGGCUUGUUAAGUCUCUGGGGAAAUCUUCCGGCUCAACCGGAAGGCGUCUCAGGGAUACUGGCAGGCUAGGGACCGGAAGAGGUGAGAGGUACUCCAGGGAGAGGACUGACCAGGGGGGAUCCGAGAGGGAGCACCUGAGGCGAAGGCACCAAACCGGGAAAGCUCCGCUAGUGAGGCGCGAGAGCUAGGAAAGCAAGGAG
rnacentral:rRNA from 1 species